CUGUUUAGGCAGACCUCGAAUGAGAAAAAAAAUCCCAAUCGAACGCUGGCCGCGGUAGGGCGAGAGGACGAUGACGAGCCCCGGUCGCCGUGACGGCCCUUCGCGCAGUCAGUGCGGGCGCUAGGGUUUGGUGCCCCGCCUUCGGCCAGAUGAGCGGGCGCUGCGGCGUUGCCCCCAUGGUGUCACAGUCAUCGUCGGCGAGAUGGCCCUGCCAUUCGUGUUCUGGAGCUGGUGGCUGAGGGGGAGGGGGGAGGGGGACGAAGGCGAGACGUUGCUGCAGCGGCAUGCCCCAUCGCCGUGACGGCCCUGCGCGCCGCCGAGUUGGAGUUCCACUAAGGUACUAGCUUCGUACAGAUCUCACUUGUCGAUUGAUUUGAUUUGCCGCAUUGGAUAAUAUUUGGGUCUGUAAUUUGGGUUUGUAGUCGUUGAAAUUGCACAUCUAUAGAAGCUGAAAUCAUUGUUAUUAUUAUGGUGAGGAAUCAUGAUACAAGUUGUUUUUCUGGUCGGCGGCUGUGGUCGGCGGCUAAAUGUCCCCGCCGUUCGUGUUCCCCUCCUAAGCUGCAGGAUGUGGAGUGGGUCGCCGAGGGGGAGGACUAAGGCGAGACAUUGCUAGCAUGCCCCGUCACCGUCAAGGCCCUACACGCCGACCAGUGUCGUACAGAUCUGUCGUGGCUGAUGCAGGCACCGCCACUUGCUAGCUGUGUCUGUACCAAGGCUUAUUCUGAAAUUGGACCGAGGCUUAUUCUGAAAUCGCCGGAUACAAGACCAACCCCAAACACGACCGUGCUGCGGUGAUAGUUCAGCCCCACAAAUGGAACAAACGGCAACCUAUAUUUGUUUGACCGGAAGGCCUCUGCACCCCCUCCCGACAAUUGACACGCUGCAUCUCACCUGGCCACCCUGCAUCCCCUUCUGAGAUUGCUUCUCCCAUUGAGAGUGAAACUGUUCUAUGAAAUUUGAGAUGUAUAUACAUUCAGAUGAAUGCAGUUUCAUCCAUUGCUGAAAGAAAUGUGAUAUCCAAUUUCAGGUUUUCUGAAGCCACGAUCAGCUAGGGAUUGGAUAGCAGAAGCAUGGCGUGUAUAAGAUCUGAACAUUGAAGACAUGCAAUGCAGCUCAAUGGGAUGGAGCUCUCGGCGAUGUGGAGCUCAAUGUCUUUCAGGCACAGACUCCAUGCCCAUCGAGUUGCAUUUGUGAUCAGCCAACACACUGUAAAACUGAUAAACUUGUGCUCGAUCGCCUCCAAGAAGUAGAAAUUAGUGAAUUAUCAGGAACUGAACAUGAACGUGAUUUUGUGCAACGGUUAUUCAGUUGGGCAACAACCUUAAAAAAGUUGACAAUAUCUUUUCAUCACUCGAUCACGAAAGCAAGGCCAAGGGGUUGUUCCAGAUGUUAUGAAGCUUGUCCACAUUGGAACUACAUAUUGAAUUUUAUGUGCACCGCUGCUUGGUGGGGAAAGUUCUAUAUGUUCCUGGAGAUUAAAACACUGAUUUGUCAAUUCUCUUCGCAAGAUUCUGGUUUGUGUGGUCCUGUUGUUCGCAUGCUCGGGAGUCAGGAGUGGUGACGAAUUCAUGUUGUGACAAUAUGUCGAUGCUGUUGAGACUGUCUUUCUAGGACGUGUGUUUACCUCUGUAAUCUGUAUGAAACUAUGGAUUCUAAUUAAUUUGCUAAAAUAGUAGCUGCUUACCCUGAUUUCUAAUAGCAUUUGUUAGGUGGGGCGCAUUGUUGUUUAUUAGUUAAAUGGUGAUUUCUGCUGAAUUUCUGUUAUUGUAAUGGUAUAUGUGACUAAGUUCAU